rnacentral:tRNA from 1 species
GGGAAUGUGGCUUAAUGGUAGAGUCCUUGCCUUGCAUGCAUGAAACCUUGGGUUUGAUUCCUCAGUACCA